rnacentral:piRNA from 1 species
UCCGGUGGGCAUUUGCUCAGCAGGGUGUC